AAUUAAUUUAUUUUUAAAUAUUUUAUCAUAUUUUAUUUAAUUUUAUUUAUCAUUAUUAUUUUUUAAAAAUAGUUAUUAUUAUUAUUUUUAUUAAUAAAUUAUUAUUGCUAUUUUUCUUCUCCCCCGACCACCACCCUUCGGCUUGUCACCACCGCCCCCUACCCCCUGCGGUGCCCCUUCGCCCCCCACCCCCUGCAGCCCCC
rnacentral:lncRNA from 1 species